GUUGGCUUAGAAGCAGCCACCAUUGAAAGAGUGCGUAAUAGCUCACUGGUCGAGUGACCCCGCGCCGAAAAUGUACCGGGGCUAAACAUAUUACCGAAACUGUGGAUGAACCUCUUUAGAGGUUCGUGGUAGGAGAGCGUUCUAAGGGCGGUGAAGUCAGACCGGAAGGACUGGUGGAGCGCUUAGAAGUGAGAAUGCCGGUAUGAGUAGCGAAAGAAGGGUGAGAAUCCCUUCCACCGAAUAUCUAAGGUUUCCUGAGGAAGGCUCGUCCGCUCAGGGUUAGUCGGGACCUAAGCCGAGGCCGAUAGGCGUAGGCGAUGGACAACAGGUAGAGAUUCCUGUACCAGUGCUAAUUGUUUAACCGAUGGGGUGACACAGAAGGAUAGGGAAUCGCACGAAUGGAAAUGUGCGUCCAAGCAGUGAGUGUGAG
rnacentral:rRNA from 1 species